rnacentral:rRNA from 1 species
UGGCUCAGGACGAACGCUGGCGGCGUGCCUAAUACAUGCAAGUCGAACGCUUCUUUCCUCCCGAGUGCUUGCACUCAAUUGGAAAGAGGAGUGGCGGACGGGUGAGUAACACGUGGGUAACCUACCCAUCAGAGGGGGAUAACACUUGGAAACAGGUGCUAAUACCGCAUAACAGUUUAUGCCGCAUGGCAUAAGAGUGAAAGGCGCUUUCGGGUGUCGCUGAUGGAUGGACCCGCGGUGCAUUAGCUAGUUGGUGAGGUAACGGCUCACCAAGGCCACGAUGCAUAGCCGACCUGAGAGGGUGAUCGGCCACACUGGGACUGAGACACGGCCCAGACUCCUACGGGAGGCAGCAGUAGGGAAUCUUCGGCAAUGGACGAAAGUCUGACCGAGCAACGCCGCGUGAGUGAAGAAGGUUUUCGGAUCGUAAAACUCUGUUGUUAGAGAAGAACAAGGACGUUAGUAACUGAACGUCCCCUGACGGUAUCUAACCAGAAAGCCACGGCUAACUACGUGCCAGCAGCCGCGGUAAUACGUAGGUGGCAAGCGUUGUCCGGAUUUAUUGGGCGUAAAGCGAGCGCAGGCGGUUUCUUAAGUCUGAUGUGAAAGCCCCCGGCUCAACCGGGGAGGGUCAUUGGAAACUGGGAGACUUGAG